UACGAAGGGGGCUAGCGUUGCUCGGAAUCACUGGGCGUAAAGCGCACGUAGGCGGAUUUGUAAGUCAGGGGUGAAAUCCCGGGGCUCAACCUCGGAACUGCCUUUGAUACUGCAAAUCUCGAGUCCGAUAGAGGUGGGUGGAAUUCCUAGUGUAGAGGUGAAAUUCGUAGAUAUUAGGAAGAACACCGGUGGCGAAGGCGGCCCACUGGAUCGGUACUGACGCUGAGGUGCGAAAGCGUGGGGAGCAAACGGG
rnacentral:rRNA from 1 species